ensembl:lncRNA
GUUCCGGUUCCGGAGAGAAAAGCAGCUUUCAGCCGGAUCCAGGCCGCGGAUGUCCCGCAGCGCCUCAGCCUGGUGGCCCUGUGGUCCGGAUAGGACGGGCUCCAGGCUCAGAGGAGGCAACUGACACACAGACUUGCAGCCUUUUUUCCAGCGACACCCACAUACGCUUUCCAGGUAUGAAAUUCCAUGAUACAAGCAGAAUCCAAGGACCUCGACCUGGGUGGAAGCUCACAAGUUUAGCUAAUCUGUCUCCUCACCAUAUGAUGAAGAUAUUGUGAUCCCAUUUUGCAGAUAUGACAGCUGGGGUCCCAGAGAGGAUACGCAGUGUUGUGUGACUGCUGAGCUCUCGAAGGCAUUUGUAUGAACUCACGCUGACCAUGGGUGUUUUCCCUGUGCCUUCAGCUCCGGAGCUGUGUGGACAGGGCAUGUACCGCUGUGGCUCAAGCAGUGUGACCCAGAGGACGUGCCGGACACUAGGAGGUAUUACAUUCCUUCUACCAACAAAUCACUGAGUCUCCGGUCACUUCUAGGCAUUGUCCUGAACACCAGGGAGUUAUCAGAACCAAGGUGAAGUGUCCUUCUUCAAGGGGCACACAGACAGCAAGCAAAUGUUGAUAUAUUUUCAGGUUAUCUGAUUCCAGCUUCAAAACAUCCUUAGCCCAGCAGGUAUUAUAAGGUCAUUUUUACAUGUGCAGAAAUACAGAAGUCCAGAUAAUGAAGUCCAAAGCAUGAUAAGCAAUCUGACUGAAACUCAGACCAUAGACAUUGAGACUUUUUCCUGUAUUACAUCUUCACUGUGCCUGUAACCAUGGAAGGUUCAGUUUCAUCACUAUCCAAUGAAGCCAGUAACCAGAGCGACAGAGUGAUGGGAGAAGAAAGCUUUAUCGGCAUUCAGCUGGCAGGUGGGAGAUGGAGGAGGCUCCCACCCAGGGCCCAGCUCGCCAGGAGUCACAGGUUCAAAAGGCGUUUCUCCUAUCUGCUGUGUUUGGGCUUUACUGAAUCUCUACUGCACUCUGAAGAUUUGAAGGCUUAUUGAUAACUGUGUGAUUUCCACAAUUCUGUACUCAAAUGUUGGCAUCAAGUAUUGUAGGGUUCCAUUCUACAGAAAGGGGAAGCAAGGCUGCCAGAGGCUGGAUGCCUUGAACAAGGGGGUGUGGAUCCACUUCCUGCAGGAAGCUGCCCAGUUUAAAGGUCUGGAGCCAUCUAAUCUGCCUGCUAGCAGCCACCCGAUGUCCUGGGAGCCUCUACCUGCAAAUAACUUGAAGGACAAGAGUGACAACUGCCGUGUGCUGUGCACCAUCUACUUUCAGCUGGAAGUGUCCAUCCCGUUUCAUCUCUUCAUUCCUGUGGACGAUCCUUGGGCACAGGGUUAAUCCAGGAGGAGGAUUUAGUAACAAGGUUGCCUGGCCUCUGGGCCUGGGCGGGAGAGCUGUUGUUCCAGCCCUGUCCCUCAGCCACACUGAUCAGAGUGGGGCUCCGAGCUUCAUUUGGGAGACAGAGCAGCAGUCACCCUGAAUCUCACCCUGCAGACUCUGGGGGUUCAGAGGUUGGGAGGGCAGAGCUGCAGGCCCAGGCAGCAAGAGUAGGUGGAGACUUCGCAGCAGCUGCAGCAAAAGGGAAGGACUGGCCGAGAGUGCUGCACUCUGUGCUCCCAGACAUCUGGAGGAAACUUUGGGCAUGCGCAGGACCUCAAGCCUGGCAGCCAGCUGUGAAGGCCGGUGCCCAUGAGACACUCAGCUCAUGUCAUUUCUCCCAUCCGACAGGGGAGUCCACCUGCCCAGCCCCACCUGGAGUCCUUUCACUUCGCCUUGCAGCAGGAAAGUGCCCAGAGAUGUUAGCCAAGGCCACAGUUGGCCAUUGCUGCCCUAGAGGCUUAUACGUGGGUCUUGGACUCCAGGGACACCGGUGAGGUCACUGGGCCUCAGAGGCUGGAGUUGGGGGCACCAGUGUGCCCCAUGGUGAUGUCUGAAGAACGCAUCCCAUCCCAUGAGUCCUUUCGCAGGGCAGGCGCUGGGCUCUGAAAGCUGCCCUCACAAAGAUGCCUGCAGCUCCCACUCUUUCCAGAGGAGCCAUCAGCCCUCGGCUAGGAGGGCAAAGGUCACUGUGCUGAGAGAAUGACCUCUUUCUCUCAGAAAGCUGCUGCUUUCAGAGCUGUGGCCACCCCAGCCUGGCCAUCACGCAGGCCUGCACCAAGAAAUAAAAGGUUCUCACAGCCGGGUAGGCGCUGUGACACAGUUUAAUUUGCUGUAA